rnacentral:rRNA from 1 species
AUACGGAGGGUGCGAGCGUUAAUCGGAAUUACUGGGCGUAAAGGGUGCGUAGGCGGCUUGAUAAGUCGGAUGUGAAAGCCCCGGGCUUAACCUGGGAAUUGCAUUCGAUACUGUCAGGCUAGAGUAUGUCAGAGGUUGGCGGAAUUCCUGGUGUAGCGGUGAAAUGCGUAGAUAUCAGGAGGAACACCAGUGGCGAAGGCGGCUAACUGGGGCAAUACUGACGCUGAGGCACGAAAGCGUGGGGAGCAAACAGGAUUAGAUACCCCAGUAGUCA